rnacentral:lncRNA from 1 species
UUUCAGGUCGGCACCACCAAGAUGCCUGUCUGCCUUGGCUGAUGAGGAUAGCUACACACAAGGCAAGCUAUCUGAACCCAACAGCAAAGACCAUGUUUCCCCUUAAUGCACUGUGUUGUGGGAAGUGUUUACUGCUGCUGCUCUUACAGAGCAGAAAACCAGAGACCAUGUGGGUCCAAGUGGAGGUGCAGAGCCACGUGGAGGGUGGAUAAUUUGAGUUUUGGACACAGAGCAUCACGGGUGGUGCCUUGGCCAGCUGCGUGCUGAGGUCAGCCUGGACUUGGACAUCUUACUUUCUGCUCUUUGCCUUCUUUUGUCCCCCUGAGCACAAGAUCCUCUAUCACCCGUCCGGCACAAACAGAAGCAAAUCCAAAAAGUGUCAGCUGGGAUGCAGCAAGCGCACGAUGAGGAACAGCAGAAAGAAGAAUGACCCCACGCUGCUGUUACAAGCAGCUUCCUGAAAGCAGCUUGCGGCCAGGAAAAUCGCUGGAUGAAAUCCCUCAGAGGAGAAAGUCCAGGGAUUGGAGUCACGCUGCAGCACUCCAGCCUGCGACAGAGGGACAAAAGGGGAAGGACAGACAAACACCUAUCCAACACCUACUCCAGAAGGCAGCACAAAGAAGAGGAUGUAAAGCAGGACAAACAAGAGUGGCUUGUGCAAGAACUCCUGUAUUAGAAUUGAGUUUGUAAGUAAAGUAAAAUAGCAAACAGAGUUUAGAGGAGCGUUUUGUUUCUUCCUGGAAGCACAAGCAGAGGAGGGGAAGGCCAGCGACGUUCCAGGAGGGCAGCAUCUAGCAGCACGCCUGCGCUGAGCAAGCUGGGACGCGGAGCUGUGCCAAGCUAUUUUUACUUCUGCUCCAGUCCCGCAGCCACGCUGGCAGAUGUGCUCCCAGCUGCAGAUGACUUCCAUGUGUAACCCUGCACUGGCUAGGGGCCCAGGGCGUAGUGUGCUUCCUUAAAAGGCCCGGGAGAGCAAGGCGAUGCCCAAUCCCAGGGGCGGCUGGCCACAGGGGCCCCAAGCCGCCCUCUGCCCUCGGGAAAGCCCAGAGUGGGCCUUCACAGCAUGACAUGGGGUCGUUGGGAGCAGUGAGGGGGAAAGGGUGCUGCAGCAGGUGGGAAGGAUGAUUCACAGGUCGCUGUAACCUCCUGCUCCCACCUAAAAGGAGAGGCUGCAGAGGAAGCAGUGUGUUGGAGCAUGGGAUGGGUCCAGUUUGCAUGCAGGCAACGUUUGUAACCCCUGAAAGCGAAAAAGGGGGCUUUCAGCAUGCCCCGUGCACGCUGGAAUGCAGGGCAGGCUGCUCUGUCCUCCAGGCAGCUACAGUUCAGUGCAGACAAUAUGAGAAACAACGAUAAUAAUAAGUGCAAUAAAAAGUCAAUUCCCUGUUCCCUCCUUCUCUAA